rnacentral:rRNA from 1 species
CCCUUAGAUGUCCGGGGCUGCACGCGCGCUACACUGAAGGAAUCAGCGUGCUAAAACCAUUGUCGAAAGGCAUUGGUAAACCCAUUAAAAUCCUACGUGAUUGGGAUCGGGAAUUGCAAUUAUUUCCCUUGAACGAGGAAUUCCCAGUAAGUGUGGGUCAUAAGCUCGCGUUGAUUACGUCCCUGCCCUUUGUACACACCGCCCGUCGCUGCCCGGGACUGAGUCGUUUCGAGAAAAGCGGGGACUGCUGCUGUCGGGGCUUUCGGGCCUUGGCUUCGGUGGAAACCGCUUUAAUCGCAGUGGCUUGAACCGGGCAAAAGUCGUAACA